GACGUAGGGGGCGAGCGUUGUCCGGAUUUAUUGGGCGUAAAGCGCGCGCAGGCGGCUCGGAAAGUCGGGUGUGAAAACCCGGGGCUCAACCCCGGACCUGCAUCCGAUACUCCCGGGCUAGAGGCAGGUAGGGGAGAGUGGAAUUCCUGGUGUAGCGGUGAAAUGCGUAGAUAUCGUAAGGAAGACCAGUGGCGAAGGCGGCUCACUGGCCCGGUACUGACGCUGAGGUGCGAAAGCGUGGGGAGCAAACAGG
rnacentral:rRNA from 1 species